rnacentral:rRNA from 1 species
UACGGGGGGAGCAAGCGUUGUUCGGAUUUACUGGGCGUAAAGGGCGCGUAGGCGGUCGUGACAAGUCACUUGUGAAAUCUCCGGGCUUAACUCGGAACGGUCAAGUGAUACUGUCGGACUAGAGUACAGAAGGGGCAACUGGAAUUCUCGGUGUAGCGGUGAAAUGCGUAGAUAUCGAGAGGAACACCUGCGGCGAAGGCGGGUUGCUGGGCUGACACUGACGCUGAUGCGCGAAAGCUAGGGGAGCGAACGGG